UACGAAGGGGGCUAGCGUUGUUCGGAGUUACUGGGCGUAAAGCGCACGUAGGCGGCUUUGUAAGUUAGAGGUGAAAGCCCGGGGCUCAACUCCGGAAUUGCCUUUAAGACUGCAUCGCUCGAAUUGUGGAGAGGUAAGUGGAAUUCCGAGUGUAGAGGUGAAAUUCGUAGAUAUUCGGAAGAACACCAGUGGCGAAGGCGACUUACUGGACACAUAUUGACGCUGAGGUGCGAAAGCGUGGGGAGCAAACAGG
rnacentral:rRNA from 1 species